AUUGAACGCUGGCGGCAGGCCUAACACAUGCAAGUCGAGCGGGGUUUUCGGACCUAGCGGCGGACGGGUGAGUAAUGCGUAGGAAGCUACCCGAUAGAGGGGGAUACCAGUUGGAAACGACUGUUAAUACCGCAUAAUGUCUACGGACCAAAGUGUGGGACCUUCGGGCCACAUGCUAUCGGAUGCGCCUACGUGGGAUUAGCUAGUUGGUGAGGUAAUGGCUCACCAAGGCGACGAUCCCUAGCUGGUUUGAGAGGAUGAUCAGCCACACUGGAACUGAGACACGGUCCAGACUCCGACGGGAGGCAGCAGUGGGGCAUAUUGGACAAUGGGCGCAAGCCUGAUCCAGCCAUGCCGCGUGUGUGAAGAAGGCCUUCGGGUUGUAAAGCACUUUCAGUAGGGAGGAAGGGUUAAGUGUUAAUAGUACUUAACUUUGACGUUACCUACAGAAGAAGCACCGGCUAACUCUGUGCCAGCCGCCGCGGUAACAC
rnacentral:rRNA from 1 species